CCCUAAGGGGGCAGGCCUAUACAUGCAGUCGAGCGGAAGAUGGGAGCUUGCUCCCUGAUGUUAGCGGCGGACGGGUGAGUAACACGUGGGUAACCUGCCUGUAAGACUGGGAUAACUCCGGGAAACCGGGGCUAAUACCGGAUGGUUGUUUGAACCGCAUGGUUCAGACAUAAAAGGUGGCUUCGGCUACCACUUACAGAUGGACCCGCGGCGCAUUAGCUAGUUGGUGAGGUAACGGCUCACCAAGGCAACGAUGCGUAGCCGACCUGAGAGGGUGAUCGGCCACACUGGGACUGAGACACGGCCCAGACUCCUACGGGAGGCAGCAGUAGGGAAUCUUCCGCAAUGGACGAAAGUCUGACGGAGCAACGCCGCGUGAGUGAUGAAGGUUUUCGGAUCGUAAAGCUCUGUUGUUAGGGAAGAACAAGUGCCGUUCAAAUAGGGCGGCACCUUGACGGUACCUAACCAGAAAGCCACGGCUAACUACGUGCCAGCAGCCGCGGUAAUACGUAGGUGGCAAGCGUUGUCCGGAAUUAUUGGGCGUAAAGGGCUCGCAGGCGGUUUCUUAAGUCUGAUGUGAAAGCCCCCGGCUCAACCGGGGAGGGUCAUUGGAAACUGGGGAACUUGAGUGCAGAAGAGGAGAGUGGAAUUCCACGUGUAGCGGUGAAAUGCGUAGAGAUGUGGAGGAACACCAGUGGCGAAGGCGACUCUCUGGUCUGUAACUGACGCUGAGGAGCGAAAGCGUGGGGAGCGAACAGGAUUAGAUACCCUGGUAGUCCACGCCGUAAACGAUGAGUGCUAAGUGUUAGGGGGUUUCCGCCCCUUAGUGCUGCAGCUAACGCAUUAAGCACUCCGCCUGGGGAG
rnacentral:rRNA from 1 species